UACGUAGGUGGCAAGCGUUGUCCGGAUUUAUUGGGUUUAAAGGGUGCGUAGGCGGUUCCAUAAGUCAGUGGUGAAAUACGGCAGCUCAACUGUCGAGGUGCCAUUGAUACUGCGGAACUUGAGUACUGAUGAGGUAGGCGGAAUGGACGGUGUAGCGGUGAAAUGCUUAGAUAUCGUCCAGAACACCGAUAGCGAAGGCAGCUUACUAAGGAGUAACUGACGCUGAGGCACGAAAAGUGUGGGGGAUCAAAACAGG
rnacentral:rRNA from 1 species